AAUGAACGCUGGCGGCAUGCCUAACACAUGCAAGUCGAACGAGACCUUCGGCUCAAGUGGCUCACGGAUGCGUAACGCCCGGCAACCUGCCCGUAAGUUCGGAACAACUCCCCGAAUGGGGUGCUAAUAACCGACAAAGUGUUCGGAUCAAACACUUCUCCCCCUUGGGUGGGCCCGCGUUGGAUUAGCUAGUUGGUAGGGUAAAAGCCGGCCAAGGGUAAGAUCCAUAGCUGGUCUGGGAGCAUGCUCAGCGACCCUGGGACUGCGACACGGCCCAGACUCGUACGUGAGGCAGUCGUAGGGAAUAUUAGACAAUGGACGACAGCCUGAUCCAGCAAUGCCGCGUGAGUGAUGAAGGCCUUAGGGUUGUAAAGCUCUUUUACCCGGGAUCAUACUGCCAGUACCGUGAGAAUAAGCUCCGGCUAACUCCGUG
rnacentral:rRNA from 1 species